AUGAACGCUAGCUACAGGCUUAACACAUGCAAGUCGAGGGGCAGCGGGAUUGAAGCUUGCUUCAAUUGCCGGCGACCGGCGCACGGGUGAGUAACGCGUAUCCAACCUUCCGCUUACUCGGGGAUAGCCUUUCGAAAGAAAGAUUAAUACCCGAUGGUAUGAUGAGAUUGCAUGAUAGCAUCAUUAAAGAUUUAUUGGUAAGCGAUGGGGAUGCGUUCCAUUAGGUAGUAGGCGGGGUAACGGCCCACCUAGCCUACGAUGGAUAGGGGUUCUGAGAGGAAGGUCCCCCACAUUGGAACUGAGACACGGUCCAAACUCCUACGGGAGGCAGCAGUGAGGAAUAUUGGUCAAUGGACGAGAGUCUGAACCAGCCAAGUAGCGUGAAGGAUGAAGGUCCUACGGAUUGUAAACUUCUUUUAUAAGGGAAUAAAACCUCCCACGUGUGGGAGCUUGUAUGUACCUUAUGAAUAAGCAUCGGCUAACUCCGUGCCAGCAGCCGCGGUAAUACGGAGGAUGCGAGCGUUAUCCGGAUUUAUUGGGUUUAAAGGGAGCGCAGACGGGUCGUUAAGUCAGCUGUGAAAGUUUGGGGCUCAACCUUAAAAUUGCAGUUGAUACUGGCGUCCUUGAGUGCGGUUGAGGUGUGCGGAAUUCGUGGUGUAGCGGUGAAAUGCUUAGAUAUCACUCAGAACACCGAUUGCGAAGGCAUCUGGCGAAUCCGUAACUGACGCUGAGGCACGAAAGCGUGGGGAUAGAACAGGAUUAGAUACCCUGGUAGUCCACACGGUAAACGAUGGAUACUCGCUGUUGGCGAUAUACAGUCAGCGGCUUAGCGAAAGCGUUAAGUAUCCCACCUGGGGAGUACGGCCGCAAGGUUGAAACUCAAAGGAAUUGACGGGGGCCCGCACAAGCAGUGGAGUAUGUGGUUUAAUUCGACGCAACGCGAAGAACCUUACCAGGGCUUGACAUACAGAUGAAUAUACUAGAGAUAGUAUAGCUCUUCGGAGCAUCUGUACAGGUGGUGCAUGGUUGUCGUCAGCUCGUGUCGUGAGAUGUUAGGUUAAGUCCUGCAACGAGCGCAACCCCUGUGAUUAGUUGCCAACAGGUAAAGCUGGGAACUCUAAUCAGACUGCCGGUGAUAAAUCGGAGGAAGGUGGGGAUGACGUCAAAUCAUCAUGCCCUUUAUGACUUGGGCUACACACGUACUACAAUGGCGUUAAACAAAGAGAAGCAAGACCGCGAGGUGGAGCAAAACUCAGAAACAACGUCCCAGUUCGGACUGCAGGCUGCAACUCGCCUGCACGAAGUCGGAAUUGCUAGUAAUCGUGGAUCAGCAUGCCACGGUGAAUACGUUCCCGGGCCUUGUACACACCGCCCGUCACACCAUGAGAGCCGGGGGGACCCGAAGUCGGUAGUCUAACCGCAAGGAGGACGCCGCCGAAGGUAAAACUGGUGAUUGGGGUG
rnacentral:rRNA from 1 species